GAAUAUUGGACAAUGGGGGAAACCCUGAUCCAGCCAUGCCGCGUGUGUGAAGAAGGUCUUCGGAUUGUAAAGCACUUUAAGUUGGGAGGAAGGGCGUCAAGCUAAUACCUUGAUGUUUUGACGUUACCAACCGAAUAAGCACCGGCUAACCCUGUGCCAGCAGCCGCGGUAAUACAGAGGGUGCAAGCGUUAAUCGGAAGUACUGGGCGUAAAGCGCGCGUAGGUGGUUCGUUAAGUUGGAUGUGAAAUCCCCGGGCUCAACCUGGGAACUGCAUCCAAAACUGGCGAGCUAGAGUAGGGCAGAGGGUGGUGGAAUUUCCUGUGUAGCGGUGAAAUGCGUAGAUAUAGGAAGGAACACCAGUGGCGAAGGCGACCACCUGGGCUCAUACUGACACUGAGGUGCGAAAGCGUGGGGAGCAAACAG
rnacentral:rRNA from 1 species